rnacentral:rRNA from 1 species
AUUGAACGCUGGCGGCAGGCUCAACACAUGCAAGUCGAGCGGGGUGAUGGUGCUUGCACUAUCACUUAGCGGCGGACGGGUGAGUAAUGCUUAGGAAUCUGCCUAUUAGUGGGGGACAACAUCUCGAAAGGGAUGCUAAUACCGCAUACGUCCUACGGGAGAAAGCAGGGGAUCACUUGUGACCUUGCGCUAAUAGAUGAGCCUAGGUCGGAUUAGCUAGUUGGUGGGGUAAAGGCCUACCAAGGCGACGAUCUGUAGCGGGUCUGAGAGGAUGAUCCGCCACACUGGGACUGAGACACGGCCCAGACUCCUACGGGGGGCUGCAGUGGGGAAUAUUGGACAAUGGGGGGAACCCUGAUCCAGCCAUGCCGCGUGUGUGAAGAAGGCCUUAUGGUUGUAAAGCACUUUAAGCGAGGAGGAGGCUCUUUUGGUUAAUACCCAAGAUGAGUGGACGUUACUCGCAGAAUAAGCACCGGCUAACUCUGUGCCAGCAGCCGCCGCCG